UACGAAGGGGGCUAGCGUUGCUCGGAAUCACUGGGCGUAAAGCGCACGUAGGCGGCUUUCUAAGUCAGGGGUGAAAUCCUGGAGCUCAACUCCAGAACUGCCUUUGAUACUGGAGAGCUCGAGUCCGGAAGAGGUGAGUGGAACUCCGAGUGUAGAGGUGAAAUUCGUAGAUAUUCGGAAGAACACCAGUGGCGAAGGCGGCUCACUGGUCCGGUACUGACGCUGAUUGUGCGAAAGCGUGGGGAGCAACAGGG
rnacentral:rRNA from 1 species